UACGAAGGGGGCUAGCGUUGCUCGGAAUUACUGGGCGUAAAGCGCACGUAGGCGGAUCGUUAAGUCGGGGGUGAAAUCCUGGAGCUCAACUCCAGAACUGCCUUCGAUACUGGCGAUCUUGAGUCCGGAAGAGGUGAGUGGAAUUCCUAGUGUAGAGGUGGAAUUCGUAGAUAUUAGGAAGAACACCAGUGGCGAAGGCGGCUCACUGGUCCGGUACUGACGCUGAGGUGCGAAAGCGUGGGGAGCAAACAGG
rnacentral:rRNA from 1 species